CGGAUUGGAGUCUGCAACCCGACUCCAUGAAGCUGGAUUCGCUAGUAAUCGCGCAUCAGCCACGGCGCGGUGAAUACGUUCCCGGGCCUUGUACACACCGCCCGUCAAGCCAUGGAAGCCGGGGGUGCCUGAAGUGCGUGACCGCAAGGGACGCCCUAGGGUAAAACCGGUGACUGGGGCUAAGUCGUAACAAGGUAAC
rnacentral:rRNA from 1 species